UACAUGGAACACUACUGCAACAGCUCC
rnacentral:piRNA from 1 species